GAUGAACGCUGGCGGCGUGCCUAAUACAUGCAAGUCGAGCGAACGGACGAGAAGCUUGCUUUUCUGAUGUUAGCGGCGGACGGGUGAGUAACACGUGGAUAACCUACCUAUAAGACUGGGAUAACUUCGGGAAACCGGAGCUAAUACCGGAUAAUCUUUUGAACCUCAUGGUUCAAAAGUGAAAGACGGUCUUGCUGUCACUUAUAGAUGGAUCCGCUCUGCAUUAGCUAGAUGGUAAGGUAACGGCUUACCAAGGCAACGAUGCAUAGCCGACCUGAGAGGGUGAUCGGCCACACUGGAACUGAGACACGGUCCAGACUCCUACGGGAGGCAGCAGUAGGGAAUCUUCCGCAAUGGGCGAGAGCAUGACGGAGCAACGCCGCGUGAGUGAUGAAGGUCUUCGGAGCGUAAAACUCUGUUAUUAGGGAAGAACAUAUGUGUAAGUAACUGUGCACAUAUUGACGGUACCUAAACAGAAAGCACCGGCUAACUACGUG
rnacentral:rRNA from 1 species